UACGUAGGGUGCAAGCGUUGUCCGGAAUUAUUGGGCGUAAAGAGCUUGUAGGCGGUUUGUCGCGUCUGCUGUGAAAAUUUCGGGGCUCAACCCCUGAACUUGCAGUGGGUACGGGCAGACUAGAGUGUGGUAGGGGAGACUGGAAUUCCUGGUGUAGCGGUGAAAUGCGCAGAUAUCAGGAGGAACACCGAUGGCGAAGGCAGGUCUCUGGGCCACUACUGACGCUGAGAAGCGAAAGCAU
rnacentral:rRNA from 1 species